UACAGAGGUCCCAAGCGUUGUUCGGAUUCACUGGGCGUAAAGGGUGCGCAGGUGGCAUGGUAAGUUUGGUGUGAAAGCUUCGGGCUUAACCCGGAAAUGGCAUUGAAAACUACUGUGCUGGAGGAUCGGAGGGGGGGCUGGAAUUCUUGGUGUAGCAGUGAAAUGCGUAGAUAUCAAGAGGAACACCAGUGGCGAAGGCGAGUCCCUGGACGAUACCUGACACUGAGGCACGAAAGCCAAGGGAGCAAACAGG
rnacentral:rRNA from 1 species